GAAGGAUAAUUUAUAAAUGGACAAAUCAUUAAAACUAAGCUGAGGAUUGAAAUAGUAUGUGCACAAAUGAUUGAGGAUUAAAAUAGAAAAUACACCAAAUCUCAAAACGUUGUGUUUAGGCGCAAAUUAAAGCGCAAUAACGCACAAAUCUCAGGGACAAAUUAAAAAACAAAGAAAAAAGCAAUUAAGACCUAAUUGAAUAAUCAUGCGAGAGAGAAGGACCGAUUGCGCAAAUUUUCCCUUCAAGCGGAACGCGCUGAUUCUCCAGAGUAACCAUAUCGGGUCGGAUCGGGCAUGGUCAAUACGGUACUGUUUCGGAGCCAUUGAGAAAGGCUCAAAACGGCGCCGUUUUUACUUCUUUAUAAAGGCUAAAAACAAGCCAAAUUCGGCUGAACUCAAACCCUAGCCUCCCCUUUUGAUUUCCCUUUAACCGGAUCCCUAAUCUCCUCUCCUAAGUACCGAUCGGCCCCUAUCAACGGUGACCAACAGAUUCGGGCUUCGAGGAACGAUAACCUCGACCUCGAGAUUCCUUCUAUGCCCCAAUUUCAACGAAGAAGGCGGAAUCUCUUAGCACAAUCGCAAGGUAAAUCUUUUAUUUUCUUUUUUAUUCUAACGUGAAAGAGGUUUGUGAGGAAAUAAAGGAAAAAAAUGAAUUGAAAUACCAGAAAAUGAAAUCUGGAAUUACCUCCGUUUUUCAUUGCUAGUUUCUUUUUCAAUAUUUCCGUCCCCCAUGUCAGUGUUUACAACUGCUUUUUAUAGCCAAAAUACAUCAAGAAUAUUCAGGAAAAAUAAAUAAAAAUCUUUAUUUAUUUAUUUAUUUUGUUGUAUUGUUGUGAUCUACUGCUUGCUGCUAUGGUUGUUAGUUCUUUGCAGGUAUGCAUCGCGUGGAGGAGUUAUUCGUGGGCGUGGAGCGUGGCAAGUGUGGAAGAAUCGGUUGGAGGCUACGGCGGCUGAAGCUUCUAGUGACCUAGGGUUUUUGCCGAAAAAAUUCAUUAGUAUUUUGGGCCUGGGGUAAUGGGUUAGGAUUGAUCUAGGUUUGGGCUUGUAAUGGGUGUUGGGUUUUGUACUGGGCUACUACAAUUUGGGUUAAUGGAUUUUGGGUAUUUGUUUAGGCUAUUAUUUUUUGCUAAAUGAAUUGUAAAUGGACUUUAGAUCCAUAAACAUUUUGGUUUAUUAUUAUUUAUUUUUGUGUGUUUUUUUUUGUUUUUGGGUUUUUGUGUGGGCCCGGGUAAAAAUGGGCCAUUACAUUGAUGUUGAUGUCAUGUACUAACCAGAACACUUUUCCUUCUACUUAAGAUGUUAAUGUCUACAAACAUCAAUCCUUUCUAUUUUUAACCUCUCAUUGCCUUAGUAGAAUUGAGUAUCAUUGAACAAAACUUCAAAGCCUCACUCUCUAGCUUUGCAUCUAUAACACCCCUACCCAAUCUAAAGACUUGAUUGGAUAGAGGAUACUGCAUUCCGCACCUAAGCAACAAUU
rnacentral:lncRNA from 1 species